rnacentral:rRNA from 1 species
UACGGAGGGGGCAAGCGUUACUCGGAAUUAUUGGGCGUAAAGGGCGCGUAGGCGGUCGUGUGCGUCGGAGGUGAAAUCCCCAGGCUUAACCUGGGAGCUGCCUCCGAUACGGCACGGCUUGAGUCCGGGAGAGGGGAGCAGAAUUCCCAGUGUAGCGGUGAAAUGCGUAGAUAUUGGGAGGAAUACCAGUGGCGAAGGCGGCUCCCUGGACCGGUACUGACGCUGAGGCGCGAAAAGCGUGGGUACGCAAACAGG